rnacentral:rRNA from 1 species
AUCGAGUUUGAUCAUGGCUCAGAUUGAACGCUGGCGGCAGGCCUAACACAUGCAAGUCGAGCGGAUGAAGGGAGCUUGCUCCUGGAUUCAGCGGCGGACGGGUGAGUAAUGCCUAGGAAUCUGCCUGGUAGUGGGGGAUAACGUCCGGAAACGGGCGCUAAUACCGCAUACGUCCUGAGGGAGAAAGUGGGGGAUCUUCGGACCUCACGCUAUCAGAUGAGCCUAGGUCGGAUUAGCUAGUUGGUGGGGUAAAGGCCUACCAAGGCGACGAUCCGUAACUGGUCUGAGAGGAUGAUCAGUCACACUGGAACUGAGACACGGUCCAGACUCCUACGGGAGGCAGCAGUGGGGAAUAUUGGACAAUGGGCGAAAGCCUGAUCCAGCCAUGCCGCGUGUGUGAAGAAGGUCUUCGGAUUGUAAAGCACUUUAAGUUGGGAUACCAACAGAAUAAGCACCGGCUAACUUCGUGCCAGCAGCCGCGGUAAUACGAAGGGUGCAAGCGUUAAUCGGAAUUACUGGGCGUAAAGCGCGCGUAGGCGGACUUUUACGUCAGCGGUGAAAUCCCGGGGCU